rnacentral:rRNA from 1 species
AUUGAACGCUGGCGGCAUGCCUUACACAUGCAAGUCGAACGGCAGCGGGGGAGAAGCUUGCUUUUCCUGCCGGCGAGUGGCGAACGGGUGAGUAAUACAUCGGAACGUGCCCUGUAGUGGGGGAUAACUAGUCGAAAGAUUAGCUAAUACCGCAUACGACCUGAGGGUGAAAGUGGGGGACCGCAAGGCCUCAUGCUAUAGGAGCGGCCGAUGUCUGAUUAGCUAGUUGGUGGGGUAAAGGCCUACCAAGGCGACGAUCAGUAGCUGGUCUGAGAGGACGAUCAGCCACACUGGGACUGAGACACGGCCCAGACUCCUGCGGGAGGCAGCAGUGGGGAAUUUUGGACAAUGGGCGAAAGCCUGAUCCAGCAAUGCCGCGUGUGUGAAGAAGGCCUUCGGGUUGUAAAGCACUUUUGUCCGGAAAGAAAUGGCUCUGGUUAACACCUGGGGUCGAUGACGGUACCGGAAGAAUAAGGACCGGCUAACUACGUGCCAGCAGCCGCCGUAA